CCUACGGGGGGCAGCAGUCGAGAAUCAUUCACAAUGGGGGAAACCCUGAUGGUGCGACGCCGCGUGGGGGAAUGAAGGUCUUCGGAUUGUAAACCCCUGUCAUGUGGGAGCAAAUUAAAAAGAUAGUACCACAAGAGGAAGAGACGGCUAACUCUGUGCCAGCAGCCGCGGUAAUACAGAGGUCUCAAGCGUUGUUCGGAAUCACUGGGCGUAACGCGUGCGUAGGCUGUUUCGUAAGUCGUGUGUGAAAGGCGCGGGCUCAACCCGCGGACGGCACAUGAUACUGCGAGACUAGAGUAAUGGAGGGGGAACCGGAAUGCUCGGUGUAGCAGUGAAAUGCGUAGAUAUCGAGAGGAACACUCGUGGCGAAGGCGGGUUCCUGGACAUUAACUGACGCUGAGGCACGAAGGCCAGGGGAGCGAAAGGGAUUAGAUACCCGUGUAGUC
rnacentral:rRNA from 1 species